rnacentral:rRNA from 1 species
ACUGGGCGUAAAGCGUGCGUAGGCGGCUAUUUAAGUCGGAUGUGAAAGCCCUGGGCUCAACCUGGGAACUGCAUUCGAUACUGGGUAGCUAGAGAUCGGUAGAGGGCGGCGGAAUUCCGGGUGUAGCGGUGAAAUGCGUAGAUAUCCGGAGGAACACCGAUGGCGAAGGCAACCGCCUGGGCCUGAUCUGACGCUGAGGCACGAAAGCGUGGGGAGCAAACAGGAUUAGAUACCCUGGUAGUCAAGGGCGAAUUCGC